rnacentral:rRNA from 1 species
GUCUAUGGCCAUACCACCCAGAAUGUGCCUGAUCUUGGCAGCUAAGCAGGGGCAGCCUGGUUAGCACUUGGAUGGGAGACCAACUGGGAAUACCAGGUGCUGUAGGCU